AUUGCUUCACUCACAUGUUUCAGUUUUCUGCUUAUCCUUUUUUGCGAGAAUGUUUUUCUUUACCUCUUCUAGAGUGGUAUAUUUUUUAUGGUACCUGUGCAAGAUAAUGAGUUUGUAGUAUGUUUUAUAAAACUUACCUUUAUGAGAAAAGAAGAAAUCCACAUGCCAGAUUCUUUCCUUUGUCGAUCAUUGUUGUUUAGCCUGGAUGUAACGAAUGAACAACAUUCAGGUUUCUCCUCAUGAGCAAUUCAUAGAUGGACAUGUUAAAGAGAUGCAUAGGGAAUAAUGCGUCAAGGAAGAAGCAGUAAGUUUGGGUGUGUCCUCCAUGCUCGCAUUACCCCGCUCGAUUGACCUCAUCUUAAGCGCAGCUAAAGGUACAAAUGAUAGGGGAAAGGAGACUAAUCUGUAACAGGUAGAUCGGAUAUCAACAUUCAUACGAAGGUGAUUCAGGUUUUUACUUGUGUUGGUUCCAUAGGUUAUUGGUGUGUAACUGCAUUCCAUAAUGUUAGAGAUGGGAACUAACCAAGGAGCACAGACUUGAGGUUGUAGAGAUCGACCUCCCACCGCUUGCUUGUGGAAAAACUGGCAACGACUAUCAAUCUGUCACAUAAAAGGGUAACCCUUAAGAAAUUGGAUUAUUGGCUUGUGCAGUGUGAUGAAUGAGUCGACAUGAACUUCUUUGAGGCUGAACUUCUUUUGUAAUAGACAAGAUCAUGGUAUGCUCAUCGAUUUAUAUAGAAAACUAUUAGUCUGGAGGGUACAAUAGAUGCCUUCUGACUUUCAAACUCAGUCAAUAUGAUUAACUAAUUUUCUUUGGAGGUGCUUGAAUUUAUGUGAGCUUGAGCUUUGUAGAACAGGCAAGUCAAGUUUAAAUUGAGCACCAGCUUGAGAAGCAUGUCAGGCGUAGCUGCAGCGGCAGGGAGAGAAGAAGACGCUAGAGGCAGCCUUUAUGGAGCGCGAGUCCAGGGACGCCUUCCUUGAGCUUGUCUCGAAGGCGAAAGAAGUUUUGGA